CGUCUAUAUACGUAUAGCAUAUCAAUAAGCGGAGGAAAAGAAACUAACAAGGAUUCCCUUAGUAACGGCGAGUGAAGCGGGAAGAGCUCAAAUUUGAAAUCUUCAAGGUUUUACCUUGACGAACUUGUAGUUUAUAGAAGUGUUUUCUGUAGUGGAGUUCGGUAAAAGUUCUUUGGAAUAGGACAUCAUAGAGGGUGAGAAUCCCGUAUUUGACCGUUAUUCUCUAGCUGUGUGAUACACUUUCAAAGAGUCGGAUUGUUUGGGAAUGCAGUCCAAAAUGGGUGGUAAAUUUCAUCUAAAGCUAAAUAUUGGCGAGAGACCGAUAGCGAACAAGUACCGUGAGGGAAAGAUGAAAAGAACUUUGAAAAGAGAGUUAAACAGUACGUGAAAUUGUCAAAAGGGAAGCGUUUGACACCAGUGUUGUUUUCUCGAAAAUCAAUUAAAAAUGGCUUGAUUUUGUGUUGUAUUGACCUUAAAAGCUUUCUUCACUUUUUUCAUGUCUUUUUUAAUGCACUCUUCGUUUAACAAGUCAACAUCAGUUUCUUUUGUUGUAAAAAGGUCAUUGGAAGGUGGCUUUCUUUUCGGAGAAAGUGUUUAUAGCCUUUGACUUCUGCAAUCGGAGAGACUGAGGUCUGCAGCGUAGAUCCUUCUGGAUUAGAUUCAUUUGUGCUAAGUUACAACCGUUUAUAGACAACUUGUUGACUAUAGGCGAUCCUGUAGCUUACUCGCUUAUGUAAUUUUACCUACGCUUAGGAUGUUGACUGAUAUGUAGUCGU
rnacentral:rRNA from 1 species